AACGAACGCUGGCGGCAGGCCUAACACAUGCAAGUCGAGCGGACCUUUCGGGGUCAGCGGCGGACGGGUGAGUAACGCGUGGGAAUAUGCCCUUCUCUACGGAAUAGUCCUGGGAAACUGGGGGUAAUACCGUAUACGCCCUUUGGGGGAAAGAUUUAUCGGGGAAGGAUUAGCCCGCGUUGGAUUAGGUAGUUGGUGGGGUAAUGGCCUACCAAGCCGACGAUCCAUAGCUGGUUUGAGAGGAUGAUCAGCCACACUGGGACUGAGACACGGCCCAGACUCCUACGGGAGGCAGCAGUGGGGAAUCUUAGACAAUGGGGGCAACCCUGAUCUAGCCAUGCCGCGUGAGUGAUGAAGGCCUUAGGGUUGUAAAGCUCUUUCAGCGGGGAAGAUAAUGACGGUACCAGCAGAAGAAGCCCCGGCUAACUCCGU
rnacentral:rRNA from 1 species